rnacentral:rRNA from 6 species
UAGGGAAUCUUCCACAAUGGACGAAAGUCUGAUGGAGCAACGCCGCGUGAGUGAAGAAGGGUUUCGGCUCGUAAAACUCUGUUGUUAAAGAAGAACAUAUCUGAGAGUAACUGUUCAGGUAUUGACGGUAUUUAACCAGAAAGCCACGGCUAACUACGUGCCAGCAGCCGCGGUAAUACGUAGGUGGCAAGCGUUGUCCGGAUUUAUUGGGCGUAAAGCGAGCGCAGGCGGUUUUUUAAGUCUGAUGUGAAAGCCUUCGGCUCAACCGAAGAAGUGCAUCGGAAACUGGGAAACUUGAGUGCAGAAGAGGACAGUGGAACUCCAUGUGUAGCGGUGAAAUGCGUAGAUAUAUGGAAGAACACCAGUGGCGAAGGCGGCUGUCUGGUCUGUAACUGACGCUGAGGCUCGAAAGUAUGGGUAGCAAACAGG